rnacentral:rRNA from 1 species
ACGAACGCUGGCGGCGUGCUUCACACAUGCAAGUCGAACGAUGAAGAAGAGAAACGCGAACUUCGGUUCAAAUUUCACUUCGGAUUAGUGGCAGACGGGUGAGUAACGCGUGAGCAACCUACCUCUUACAAAGGGAUAGCCUCGGGAAACCGUGAUUAAUACCAUAUGACACAUUCAUAAGGCAUCUUAAGAAUGUUAAAGCUACGGCGGUAAGAGAUGGGCUCGCGUCCCAUUAGCUAGUUGGUGAGGUAACGGCCCACCAAGGCGACGAUGGGUAACCGGCCUGAGAGGGUGAACGGUCACAUUGGAACUGAGACACGGUCCAAACUCCUACGGGAGGCAGCAGUGGGGAAUAUUGCACAAUGGAGGGAACUCUGAUGCAGCGACGCCGCGUGAGCGAUGAAGGAAUUCGUUUCGUAAAGCUCUGUUCUAUGGGAAGAAAAGGACUGUACCAUAGGAGAAAGCCCCGGCUAAAUACGUG